UGAUUGACGGCUCUCGCGCAUUAUGGA
rnacentral:sRNA from 1 species